rnacentral:rRNA from 1 species
GGUUAAGCGACUAAGCGUACACGGUGGAUGCCCUGGCAGUCAGAGGCGAUGAAGGGCGUGCUAAUCUGCGAUAAGCGCCGGUAAGGUGAUAUGAACCGUUAUAACCGGCGAUACCCGAAUGGGGAAACCCAGUGUGACUCGUCACACUAUCAUUAACUGAAUCCAUAGGUUAAUGAGGCGAACCGGGGGAACUGAAACAUCUAAGUACCCCGAGGAAAAGAAAUCAACCGAGAUUCCCCCAGUAGCGGCGAGCGAACGGGGAGGAGCCCAGAGCCUGAAUCAGCAUGUGUGUUAGUGGAAGCGUCUGGAAAGGCGCGCGAUACAGGGUGACAGCCCCGUACACAAAAGCGCAUGUGCUGUGAGCUCGAUGAGUAGGGCGGGACACGUGGUAUCCUGUCUGAAUAUGGGGGGACCAUCCUCCAAGGCUAAAUACUCCUGACUGACCGAUAGUGAACCAGUACCGUGAGGGAAAGGCGAAAAGAACCCCGGCGAGGGGAGUGAAAAAGAACCUGAAACCGUGUACGUACAAGCAGUGGGAGCACAGGUUUACCUGUGUGACUGCGUACCUUUUGUAUAAUGGG